rnacentral:rRNA from 1 species
UACGAAGGGGGCUAGCGUUGCUCGGAAUUACUGGGCGUAAAGGGCGCGUAGGCGGAUAUUUAAGUUAGAGGUGAAAGCCCAGGGCUCAACCCUGGAAUAGCCUUUAAUACUGGAUAUCUUGAGUUCGGGAGAGGUGAGUGGAACUCCGAGUGUAGAGGUGAAAUUCGUAGAUAUUCGGAAGAACACCAGUGGCGAAGGCGGCGACCUGGACAGAUACUGACACUGAGGCGCGAGAGCGUGGGGAGCAAACAGG